GGGAUUGUUUCAGUAGCGGCGAGUGAAGCGGCAAGAGCUCAGAUUUGAAAUCGUGCUUUGCGGCACGAGUUGUAGAUUGCAGGUUGGAGUCUGUGUGGAAGGCGGUGUCCAAGUCCCUUGGAACAGGGCGCCCAGGAGGGUGAGAGCCCCGUGGGAUGCCGGCGGAAGCAGUGAGGCCCUUCUGACGAGUCGAGUUGUUUGGGAAUA
rnacentral:rRNA from 1 species